rnacentral:rRNA from 1 species
CGGGUGAGUAACGCGUGGGUAACCUGCCUCAUACAGGGGGAUAACAGUUGGAAACGACUGCUAAUACCGCAUAAGCGCACAGGAUCGCAUGAUCCGGUGCGAAAAACUCCGGUGGUAUGGGAUGGACCCGCGUCUGAUUAGCCAGUUGGCAGGGUAACGGCCUACCAAAGCGACGAUCAGUAGCCGACCUGAGAGGGUGACCGGCCACAUUGGGACUGAGACACGGCCCAA